UACCUUUUGUAUAAUGGGUCAGCGACUUAUAUUCAGUGGCAAGCUUAACCGUAUAGGGUAGGCGUAGCGAAAGCGAGUCUUAAUAGGGCGUUUAGUCGCUGGGUAUAGACCCGAAACCGGGCGAUCUAUCCAUGAGCAGGUUGAAGGUUAGGUAACACUGACUGGAGGACCGAACCCACUCCCGUUGAAAAGGUAGGGGAUGACUUGUGGAUCGGAGUGAAAGGCUAAUCAAGCUCGGAGAUAGCUGGUUCUCCUCGAAAGCUAUUUAGGUAGCGCCUCAUGUAUCACUCUGGGGGGUAGAGCACUGUUUCGGCUAGGGGGUCAUCCCGACUUACCAAACCGAUGCAAACUCCGAAUACCCAGAAGUGCCGAGCAUGGGAGACACACGGCGGGUGCUAACGUCCGUCGUGAAAAGGGAAACAACCCAGACCGCCAGCUAAGGUCCCAAAGU
rnacentral:rRNA from 1 species